UGAAAGCACCAUAAGUCCAGAGAAUGACAGACUUUGCUUACAAAGUUUGAUGACAAAAUUUGCAAACGUAGAACCGCCGCGCCAUCUUCCUGUUCAAGUGAGCACAGCACAACAAGGUCACUCCUCUUCUCCUCCAGAUUCCUCUUCUCCUCCUGAUGCAUCCUCUUCAGCUGCUCAAACCUCUCAUGGAGCUGGAUUGGAGGGGUUGGUAACAUGCUCUGCCUCGGUCUCCUUCACCUUGUUGACAAACAUCUGUCUCAUGUCGUCCUCGUUAUGCUGCAGAUCCCCCAGGAACUCUCUCCGCUUGGCCACAUACGUCUCCUGCAGACUGAUUGGUGAGGGAAGACGAGGUAG